rnacentral:rRNA from 1 species
GAGCACGUAGGUGGGUUUGUAAGUCAGCCGUGAAAUCCCCCGGCUCAACCGAGGAACUGCAGCUGAUACUGCCGAACUAGAGUGCGCGAGGGGAGAGCGGAAUUCCUGGUGGAGCGGUGAUAUGCGUAGAUAUCAGGAGGAACGCCGGAGGCGAAAGCGGCUCUCUGGUGCGCAACUGACGCUGAGGUGCGAAAGCUAGGGGAGCGAACAGGAUUAGAUACCCUGGUAGUCCUAGCCGUAAACGAUGGGCACUAAAUAGAGGGGUUUU